rnacentral:lncRNA from 1 species
CCAACAACCAACACCUGAGGUGCGGAACCCAGCGCCCUCGGCACCGGUUUUCUUUAAACCAGCCAGUCCGCAGCUGCGGCCAGGACAACGCACAGUGGCCUUGACGGAGGCGGGGCCCACCAGCCCUCCCUGUUCCGAGGGCCUCGCGGGGACACCCUUCCCCGGCGGGUCUGAGUAAUCCACCACUGCGCUUUCUGAGCUUCCACUGGGCGCCUCCUCUGCGUCUUUCCUGCUCCACGCAGGUCUCUGGGUAGGAAUAACCCGGAUCCGGGUCACAUGAGGGCCACCAAGGGAUUCUGCCCUCACACGCAGUGCUCCGGGCGACCACGUGGGAAUGUUUAAACCUGCUAGCGUCUGUUGUGCUGGUGGUGGACGCCUGUGAUCCCAGCACUCUGGGAGGCUGAGGCAGGAGGAUCACAAGUUGGAGCAGAGCCAAGAUCCAGUCUCAAAAAACCCCACAACAACCUGGUAAUCAACAAGUGAGGCCAGCCAUGGUGAUGUAUGCUUGUAAUCCCAUCACUAAGGAGGCUGAGGCAGGAGGAUCGCCGUGAGAUGAAGGCCAUCCUGGGCUACAUAGUGAGUUCAAGGCCAGCCUGAACUACAUAGCAAGACCUGGUGGGGACAGAGAAAGAGGGGAAAACAUGAAAAAUGGAUCCAACACCUGCUAGAUGAUGCAGAGAAGACUAAGAUUAAUUGGAAUGACAGUUUUACAACUGUUCAGACUGAUGACCAUAAUGUCCUGUUUCGACUUACGAGCCACCACUCAGACUUAU